rnacentral:piRNA from 1 species
GAGAGCUCCAGAGCCGGCCCAGCC